rnacentral:rRNA from 1 species
UGGGGAAUAUUGCACAAUGGGGGAAACCCUGAUGCAGCGACGCCGCGUGAACGAAGAAGGUAUUCGUAUCGUAAAGUUCUGUCCUAUGGGAGGAUAAUGACAGUACCAUAGAAGAAAGCUCCGGCUAAAUACGUGCCAGCAGCCGCGGUAAUACGUAUGGAGCGAGCGUUGUCCGGAAUUAUUGGGCGUAAAGGGUACGCAGGCGGUUUAAUAAGUCGAAUGUUAAAGAUCGGGGCUCAACCCCGCAAAGCAUUGGAAACUGAUAAACUUGAGUAGUGGAGAGGAAAGUGGAAUUCCUAGUGUAGUGGAGAAAUACGUAGAUAUUAGGAGGAAUACCAGUAGCGAAGGCGACUUUCUGGACACAAACUGACGCUGAGGUACGAAAGCGUGGGGAGCAAACAGG